rnacentral:rRNA from 1 species
CUUGGUCAUUUAGAGGAAGUAAAAGUCGUAACAAGGUUUCCGUAGGUGAACCUGCGGAAGGAUCAUUCAUAAUAAAGUGUUUUAUGGCACUUUUUAAAAAUCCAUAUCCACCUUGUGUGCAAUGUUAGAUCUCGUCAAUCUUGGCGAGGUUUUUAUACAUCAACUCAUUCCUUAACUAAUUUGUCUGAAAAAUAUUAUGAAUAACUUAAUUCAAAAUACAACUUUCAACAACGGAUCUCUUGGCUCUCGCAUCGAUGAAGAACGCAGCGAAAUGCGAUACGUAAUGUGAAUUGCAGAAUUCAGUGAAUCAUCGAAUCUUUGAACGCAUAUUGCGCUCUCUGGUAUUCCGGAGAGCAUGCUUGUUUGAGUAUCAGUAAACACCCUCAGAACUUCUUGAUUUUCGAAUCUUGGAGCUCUGGAUUUGAGUGAUCCCAACGCGUUCUUAUGUAGAACAUGGCGGGCCACUUGAAAUGCAGGUGCAGCUGGACUUUCUUCUGAGCUAAAAGCAUAUUUAUUUAGUCCUGUCAACACUUGUGUUGCGGAUUAUUACUUCUGCUGCAGCUAACAUAAAGGUUGAUUGUUCAAAUGCUGACUGAUGCAGGAUUUAUCAGUAGCGCAAGCGAUCUGUUAAACUCGAUCUCAAAUCGAGUAAGACUACCCGCUGAACUUAAGCAUAUCAAUAAGCGGAGGA